GUUAAUCGAUCGGGAGAACUAGGAGAAAAGUCAACGGUAGCGACCAACUCAAACCGAUCGAAGUUGAAAGAACAAAUUAAGGAUAAAUACUAUUGAAAUUGAAGUAUAAACUUGCAAAGUAAAGAGAUAGAAAGGGUUUCUGCCAAAGUUUGGUGUUGCUCGGAAUUUGAGGUUUUAUUGGAAAGUCACACCUCUCGGUAUGAAGUUCAUUUCAUUGAGAUGCUCAAACCACAUACAUUCAAUUUCUUUCUCUUUGUCUGUGUAGUUCAUUUCAUUAAAGUGAUCAAACCACAUACAUUCUUUCUCAACAAAUCAACACAUCUAUGGCAUCAUCAUUUGCUCCAGCUUUUUCUUACCAUGUUUUUCUUAGCUUUAGAGGAGAAGAUACUCGCAAUAGUUUUGUGGGCCAUCUCUACUCAGCUCUUGAACAAAAAGGAAUCCAUACUUACAAGGACAACGAAACACUUCCUCGGGGUGAAUCGAUUGGUCCAGCCCUUAUGAAGGCUAUAGAAGAAUCACAGAUUGCUGUCAUCGUAUUCUCUGAAAACUAUGCAGAUUCUUCAUGGUGCUUAGAUGAACUUGUACAUAUCAUGAAAUGCAAGGGUAAGAGAGGCCAAAUCAUUCUUCCCAUAUUUUAUGGCGUGAAGCCGUCUGAAUUGAGAAAACAAAAAAGGAAAUACGGAGAAGCAUUUGCCAAACAUGAGCUGAAGAACAAGAAAAAAGUUAAAUCUUGGGGACAAUCAUUUUUGAAAAGUCCUUUGGGAUGGCUCUUUGCACCGCUUGAAAAGAAUCGGAAAUACAUAGAAGAAUCUGUCAAGCAUGAGUUGGAGAACCAGACCAAGGUUGAAUCUUGGAAAAAAGCAGUUGUGGAUGCAAGUAACAUUGCUGGAUGGGAAUUCAAUGACAAUGCCAACAUGGACGAAUCAAAGUUUAUCAAAACAAUUGUUGAGAAAAUUUCGCUGAUGCUGCAUCCAGUAACUUCAAGUGUGAAUGACAACCUGGUUGGAAUAGUGACUCGCAUGCAAGAUUUUAAAUCAAAGCUACAAAUUAGAUCGGGUGGUGUUCUCAUGAUUGGGAUAUGGGGUGGUGGGGGUGGUGGUAAGACUACUCUUGCAUCUUAUAUUUAUAGUGAAUUCUCUAGAGAGUUUUUUGGUUGCUGCUUUGUUGAAGAUAUUCGAGAGAAAUCAAGUAAGAAUGGUUUGGAACAAUUGCAAGAAAAAAUUCUCUCUGAUGUUUUAAAACCAAAUCAAGUGCAGAUAAGGGGAGUUGAGGAAGGAAAACACAUGAUAAAGGAUAGGUUAGGCCAUAGAAAGGUCUUGAUUGUUCUUGAUGAUGUUGAUAACCUUGAACAACUCAAAGCGUUAGCAGGAUCACAUAAUUGGUUCGGUGAAGGAAGUCUAAUAAUAAUCACAAGCAGAGAUGAACAUUUAUUAAAUGUUCACAAAGUUGACGUGAUACACAAAAUUAGUUUGUUACAUGAUGAUGAGGCCAUGGAGCUCUUCUGCAAUCAUGCACUCCGGGGUGAUAGGCGUGUUGAAGAUUAUGAGAUGCUUUCAAAUGAUGUGGUUUCUUAUGCUGGUGGGCUCCCAUUAGCACUAAGAGUUCUCGGUUGUUUUCUAUGUGACAAAGAUAUGAAUCAGUGGAGGAGUGCAAUAGCCAGACUAAAAGAGAUCCCAGAUACUGAUAUUCUGGGAAAGCUAAAAGUCAGCUUUGAUGGACUUAAACAGCAUGAGCAAGACUUGUUCCUUGAUAUAGCAUGUUUUUUUAGGUGGGCGAAGAAAGAUACCGCAAUGGAGAUUCUUGAUGCUUGUGGUUUACAUCCUGUUAUAGGAAUAGAGGUGUUGAGACAAAAGGCUCUCAUAACUAUUUCUUGGGAUGGAAGAUUUGAUAUGCAUGAUCUGGUGCAAGAAAUGGGACACCACAUUGUUAGAGGUGAACACCCCAAGAAUCCUGAAAAACAUAGUAGAGUUUGGAAGACAGAAGAUGUUCUUAAAAUAUGUGCCAUGGAUGCAACCACGGAACUUGAAAAGAUCGAAGCAAUAAAAAUAGUUUUUCGGUUUCAGCCAGCAAAAAAACAAGAACAAGAUCUUCAUUCGGUUGCUGCAAACAUGAAGAACCUUCGGUAUAUGGAAUCAAUAGGUGAUCCUGCAAAAUCAUUGUUUAAUGACCUUCCACUCACUGAGCUUUGCUGUCUUAUAUUGUAUGAUGGCUUGCAAAAACAACUUUGGGAGGAUUAUAUGUUUCUGCCAAGUUUGAAGUUAUUGAAACUUCACAACAUGCAUAACCUAUCCAUGACACCCGAUUUUAAUGGACUUCCAAAGCUUGAAAGAUUCAUUCUUCAUGAAUGCCAUUGUUUAAAAGAGAUUCAUCCAUCGAUUGGUUGCUUGGAAAAGCUUGUUUUCUUAUCUAUAGAAUAUUGUUCUGGUCUUGAGAUGUUUCCACCCAUUUGGGGAAUAAAGAAACUAGAGAUACUUUCAUUCGCAGUCCAGUGCAAAGUUGUUGAGUUUUCAAAGAUCCAACAACAGAAGAUGGAGGAUUUACUACAUCUUGAUUUGGAUCAUGGUGGGAAUGAAAUUGCAUCCUACAUAGAAUCCUGUCCAAACUUUUUAGUUUUUUGUUGGGUAGAUUUUUUUCACAACAUGCAUGAACUCUGCUUCUUAAGGAAGUUGAAUCUCCGCUGGUGCAAGUUGCGAGAUGAAGACAUAGGCUCUUAUGUUUUAGAGUUGCCCAACUUGCAACAACUUGAUCUAAAAGGAAAUAAGUUUUCACAAUUAAGUUUUAGUUGCUUGCAACUUCCUCGGCUCAAAUGGCUUGAUGUGUCAUCCUGCAAUGAACUUGUAGAAUUGUCAGAGAUGCCAUCAAGUAUAGCUGUUGUUAUAGCAGAUGAUUGUAGCUCGCUUGAAAGCUUUGGAGAUAUCUCAAACUGUAAAUGGUUGUGGAAAGUCUCACUUCUAGGGGACAACAAACUUGGUGAUGGUGAGAUAUUACUAGACUCCAUGCUCCAGGGGAAUGCUAUUGAAGAUCACUUUAUCAGUGUCAGACUUCAAUAUCAGAAUCCAAGGGCAUUUGUAGGUAGAUUCUUUAGGGGAAAAACAUUCACAAAGCGUCUCCCACAUGCUAAAUGGAACCUAUUUGAUGACGACACGUUUAGACUGGUUCUUCCAGAUGAUUGGUGCAAUGACUUCUGUGGGUUCUUAAUACGCAUUAUUACCCUGGAGAUGGGUACGAUUGAUAUAAUCAUGAAGCAGGAGCAAGAUCAGGAAAAUUCUCGAUUUGAGAUUUGGCAGGACUCUAAUGAUUCACCAGAGCCUGAAUAUGAUGGAGAAGUAACGACACAUGUGGGAUAUGUUUCCUUUAGUUCAUUGAGGCAGACCACAUCAUUGAAUCCAUCAUACAAUAUCAUUUCAUUUUCCAUAAAGGGGUAUUGGACUUCAUUUGCAGCUGAGCUCGUUCCUAGAAAAAGUAAAGAUGAUCCGGUGCAAACAAGAAAAGUUGCAACAGAUUGCUCAGAGUUUUGGGAUGAGGAAAAUAAUAUCUCUGGAUUCUUUGCCAAUUUGUAUAGUCCCCACUCUGAACUUAUAUAUGAUGGUGAUUACACUGCAACAUACAUUGAGAAACAAAUUGCAAAGGGAGGACAAUGAAUGAAAUGAAGAUGAUUGAAUAUCAUGGAAAGCAGCACCUCUAUAUCAUCAUGACAGGGUGCGACUCACAGUAGAGGGUUAUUGUAGCAGAUUCGUUCAUAGCAGAUUGAUGUGUUGAUUCGUCGUUGCUGUUAAUUCGUUCGUUGGUGCUGUUAAUUCGUUCGCUGUUGUCAGUAUUCGUUGUUACGUUGCUUUGUUGUCGCUGUUGAUUCGUUGUCUGUUUGAUUGCUUCCGAUGGUUUGUUACUCCUUUCAUUCUCAGAUUGUUAUACUAUUAUUGUGGUUAUUUAUUCUCUGUCAACAUGACUGGAAAUGAUGAUUCCCUUCAGUCAAUUAGUACUCACCUAGAUGGAAAGAAUUAUACGUAUUGGAGUUUCGUUAUGAAGAACUUCCUUCGUAGGAAGAAUAUGUGAGGCUAUGUCACUGGGACUAAAGCCAAACCCUCAGUUCCUCAAACUAAGAAUUUUGAUUUGUUGUUUGAUGCUUGGGAGACAGAUAACUCCAAGGUUAUUACUUGGAUUAGUAACUCUGUUACUCAGUCUAUUGGUAUGCAAUUGGCUAUGUAUGACACAACAAAGGAAGUUUGGAAUCACUUGGAGAGACUGUAUACUUAGUCUAAUUUUGCUAAACAAUACCAGUUAGAAUAUGAUAUUCGUGCCCUUCAAAAGAAUGACCAGAGUAUUCAAGAUUUCUAUGCUGCUAUGUAUGAUCUGUGGGAUCAAUUGGCUCUUACUGAAUCUAAAGAGUUAAAAGAUUUUGAGCCUUACAUUGCUAGGAGGGAAGAACAACGCUUGGUCUAGUUCUUGAUGACCUUGCGCUCUGAUUUUGAAGGUUUACAUGGAACAAUUCUUCAUCGCUCUCCUCUUCCCUCAGUUGAUUCUGUUGUCCAUGAGUUAAUUGCAGAAGAGACUCGUAUCAAGUCUCAUGCAGAUAAAGGGUUUAAAGCAACUUCUAUUCCUACUCCUGCUCCUGCUGUGCUUGCUGUCUCCUCAAAUCAGUCCCGACAAACUUCAAGGGUUGCUUAUGACGAGUGUGCAUUCUGCAAACAGAAGAAUCAUUGGAAAGCUCAGUGUCCAUUGUUAGUCAAUAAGGGUAAAUCUGGUCAACCUCAGUCGGGACAAUAAAAUAGGUUUGGUCAACAGAAGUUUCAGCCACGUUCAUCUGGUACUCCUCCAUAGACCCCUCAUCCUCCACAGUUUGCUGAUGCUGCUAUUCCACCAAUUGAUACAAAUUCUAUUAGAAACAUGCCCCCAUCUGCAUUGGAUCCCAAGGUGUUUGAGAGCUUUAGACAAUAUUUGGCUUCUAAUCCCACUGCCAUGUCUGCAUCUAUGUCUCACUCUAGUCCUACUUCAUCUGGUACAUCAGGAUCAACACACUUAGAAGGUGAUUGGGAUCGACCGUAGGGUGGGGGAACUGUAUGUCUUGGAGGUUCUCAAAGUGUCUGUUGUUGCUGCCUCCAACAUUGAUUUAUCUUCUUUCCGUUUGAGUCAUUUGUCAUCUGAGUUUUAUCUUUGGCAUUCUUGUUUGGGACAUGUGUCUGUAUCACGUUUGAAUUUUUUAGCAUCUAGUGGUAUUUUGGGUCAUUUAGACACUUGUGAUAUUUUUGAUUAUAGUGGUUGUAAACUGGAAAAAUUCUCUGCUUUACCUUUCAAUAAAAGUAUGUCUUGUUCUACUGUC